rnacentral:rRNA from 1 species
UACGUAGGGUGCAAGCGUUGUCCGGAAUUAUUGGGCGUAAAGAGCUCGUAGGCGGCCUGUCGCGUCGGAUGUGAAAGCCCGGGGCUUAACCCCGGGUCUGCAUUCGAUACGGGCAGGCUAGAGUGUGGUAGGGGAGAUCGGAAUUCCUGGUGUAGCGGUGAAAUGCGCAGAUAUCAGGAGGAACACCGGUGGCGAAGGCGGAUCUCUGGGCCAUUACUGACGCUGAGGAGCGAAGGCGUGGGGAGCGAACAGG